rnacentral:lncRNA from 1 species
AUAAACUGUAAUCAACGUCCAAUUAUGCCACUUGCAAUGAGAUAAUUACUUGGCAGGUGUAUGUCACUUCCAACCCCAAGAGAGGACGGGAUGGUGGAUGAAUAAUCCCAUGCCUUCACCUCCCAGAUUAGGAAGUGUUCCAUGUACGCGUAGUCGCAGAUUCACAGUGGGAAAUUCAACAAUCGGGUAAAUACAGUUAUAUGCUUGAAGGACAUGGCCCUCUGAAAAGGUUUAAAGAGGAUUACGACAGACAGUGAUACGACGUAAAUCUGCUCUCCACUCGUCUCCAGACCCUGUCCUCCCAGAGGCUUCAGUGCGGACAUUGGUACUUCUACCAGGUCUCUACUGGGCUGGGACAGCACCUCUGCCAACUUCUUCGUCCUUCCAUCUCUCCUCUCCUCCUUCCUGUCCUGCUCUCUCCCUUUAGUGGGCGAGGAGGGAUGAGCGCAUGCACUCCGUAUCCCCGCCUCCACUACCUCUGGCUGUGUCUCAGGCUGCUCAUUUUGGUUCUGGGGCUCCUCUGCUCCCCCUGGGGCCCCUCUCUCCUUGCCCUCUUCUGUGGCCCCAGGACCCUCAUCAUGUCCCAGUGGUACCUGUGUGGUGAGGGCGCUGGAGGAGGUAUGACCCAGGACUGUUGCAGUUCCCUCAUGGCCAUGAUCCUGUCCUGCUGCUGAGCCAGCCGCUGCAUCUCCGUCUGCAGGAACCCCAGGGACGUGUUCAGCCUCUCGAUGGAGCUGGUGUACUCAGCCAGGUCCACCUCUCCAGCCACUAACCCUGGAGCAAGACACAGCGGACACGUCUACUUUAUAAGGGGGACUUGGGAGCGGCUCCAUCGGGCUUGCACCUCUCCGCCUGGCCCAGACUGCCUGACGGGGUGAGAAGGGGGUCUGGGGAGGAUUUGUCCAGGUCUGGGCCCCCAGGGAUGGGGCUGGUGGGAGAGGGGGUUAUCCCUUUCCGUCUCACCACGUUGAGGAAGGCUGUCCGGCCCAUCUUCUGACGAUGCCGGGUGAACGCUGCCUCCACCUGAAACAGUGACAAAAAUUGUUGAUUAUUUCAGCACAUUUUUUAUAACCAAUGAACAUGCUGGCUUGGUAUCCUAAAUUAUCCAACAAGAUGAUGGUUCAAAUGAAGUGAUUUCU